rnacentral:rRNA from 2 species
CUUCCGUAGGGUGAACCUGCGGAGGGAUCAUUA